UAUUAUCACCUUAAAGCUUCCUGCGUUGACAUUUGAGCUAAAUUAAAGUUUAGCUCUUCGGUUGCAGAAAAAUGGGUAUUUUUCGAAAUGAUGAAACUCAGCAACCAAAGCUGGGAGGAAGGAGAGCUACUACAUUCGUAUUUGCUAUGGCAGGACUGGAGACCUUGGCAUUUAUUUCAAAUGGUGUGAGCUUAGUGACUUACUUUUUAUGGUUACAUGAACCUCAGCUUGACAAAAUCAGCCACUGCACUGAAAAAUUUCAUGGGUUCUGCGUUUCUAUUAUCAUUAUCCGGAGGAUUUAUUUCGGAUACAUACAUUUCGAGAUUCAAGACGUGCAUUGUUUUUAGAUGCAUAAAAGUAGUAGUAGGUAAAAACUCUUUAUUAUGUUCUGAUUCAUGCAUGAAUUUACUGUUAUUUGAUUCUCAUCAUCUUCAAAAUGUUGUGUUAACAAGGAAUCGGACUUUUCCUGCUUGAUUCCAAUCUGACUUUUUCCAUGUAAAUUAAAUUUACGUAGUUAACUGGCAGUUUAUACUAACCUCAGAUCUAUCAAUUAAUAAAAGUUUCUGAAACAUUUGGAUGAUAUUAUUCAUGUUAUAUUGGCUAAUUAUUAGUUAAAUGAUUAAGUGAAAUAAUAAUAGCUCAUUGAUUUUGCAAAACCAAGAUAGUGCACCAGCAAUAUAGUUGACCAUGAUACCAAUUUAUUAAAAAAAUAAUUUGCAUGCAUAUAUUUAAUUAUUGUUAAAUGAUGCUCGACAUUUUUUAAGGCUCAUUGAUGCAGUCCAUUUUUUUGGCCCUUUUAAAUGGAAUGUGACCCAGUUUUGGUACAUUGUGCACAAUCCCGCAUUACUUUAAACCCGACUUUGACAAACUGUUGAGAUGGUGUCACCUGUUGCAGGCAAAACCGUUGGAUGCAAAUGACCAUUUAUAUCCCUUGACUUCUCUCAUUUGUGCCGUGUGUUCGAGAGAUUUCUAGGGCUUUCACCCGUCUUGUUCUCUGUUCAUUCUCUCUCUGAAAACUCUUGGUUUUCAUCUGUAAUCUUUUUUGUUUUAAAUGUUCUUGGUGAAAUCUAGUAUAGAUUGUGGUAUUCUUGUGAUGAUUAUGUUCUCUGAUUGAGCAGUUGGUUAGGUUACUCUGAUGUAAUCGAUUUGUGAGAGAAUAAGAGAGUUUUAGAGUCUGAGGGUUA